CCAUUCUGUCUCACCAAAUCAUACCCAAUAAAUUUUUUGUUUAGAACUUUCUGAUAUGAUCACCACCCUCAUGUUGUAUUUAUUGGGUCUAAAAUCUAGGCUUCAUUUGAAAUUAUGAUAGAAUGAUUUACUUAUUUGUAUGUAAAUUCAUACUAUGAUGUAGAAAAUAUGUCAUUUUAAAUUUUAGGUGGAAUUGGGGAUCCGAUUCUUUCAUCAGCUCUCACUUCGGAGAUGGGUCGAGUUCUCAGUAUUCAGUCUCAUAUAGUUCAGAUUCACUUCUUAUUAGUAGACAAGGGAAAGUGAGAUUGAAAAAAAUGGUAUUCACCUAACAGAAGGAGAGAACUAAGGUGUUAUGGGAAUUCAGAGGAGUCAUUCUUACAAGAGGACCCAAGCUAUGUAAUUUUGUUGAGUGAAGAGGAUACAAAGUUUUUUACAAGGUAAUGAUGGAUAAUGAGACUCAAUUUGUAAUUAGAAUGAAUUUUUCGUUGUUUGAUAUAAUGUAUAUGUUAUUAUAAAGUGUGAUACAAAAUUAAGUAACCAAUUAUGUUAUGGGUAUUAAAAGGGUAUUAAAUUGUCAUGUAAAUAAUGUGUAGAUACCAUAAAUUAAUUUAUAAUUUGUUGUGAGGUCAAAUUAUAAAUAUUCAAAACUCAUUCUAAGAUGAGUCUAUUUAGUGGUCCCAAGAAACGUUUUUGUAUUCUCUUCUUCCCCAUCAGAGAAAAUACUUUAAAAAAUAAUUUAUUCUUGGAAGAUCAAAAAUUUCUCUGCAAUCUCUAACAAUGGCUUCAGGUUAGUGCUUCCGCUUAUCUUUUAUCUUCUUCUUCCUUAAUUUAGCAAAUGCUAAGAGUUUUCUAUAUUAAAGUACUCUUAGGAAUAUAUUUAGAUUUAUGAUAUUUAUAUUUAAUGAGUGUUUUAUAAAUCUUAACAUUUGUAUGUAAAACCAUGUUAGUUAUUUCAAUGGUUGUUCGAUGGAGAUAUGCUAGUCUCUCUCGCGGUGAUGAAACAUUCUGUAGCGUCCCUCAUCAUUAAAUGGAAAUACAUAACAAAUGAAGGUUUAUGUUGGAUUUUAAUUACUUGUACCUGUUACCUUGGUUAUGAAAAACUUAUUCUUAGGUUAAGCUGAAUUUCUUUUCUCUAUUAUGUUAACUUAUCUUGUCUACAAAGUUGAAAAUAGUUUUGAUGGCAAACCAAUGAUACUGAUUUUAGAGUUAAUUAAGUAUUUAUUUUAUAUUUAGGAGGCAAAUGAACACUUUUGUCUACACUUAAAAUAAAAUUUACUUGAUUAAAUGUACACGUAAACUUUGUAGCCUAAAAACCAUUGAAACAAUUUAUUGCCCCCUA